rnacentral:rRNA from 1 species
UACGAAGGGGGCUAGCGUUGCUCGGAAUCACUGGGCGUAAAGCGCACGUAGGCGGAUUGCUAAGUCAGGGGUGAAAUCCUGGAGCUCAACUCCAGAACUGCCUUUGAUACUGGGGAUCUCGAGUCCGGAAGAGGUGAGUGGAACUCCGAGUGUAGAGGUGAAAUUCGUAGAUAUUCGGAAGAACACCAGUGGCGAAGGCGACUCACUGGACAUGUAUUGACGCUGAGGUACGAAAGCGUGGGGAGCAAACAGG